AUGAUUCUCACCAUGAAGCACCUUAGGCAAUUUAUUGAGCUUUGGGAGCAAAUUCGACACACCCAACUCCGCGAAGAUGUAAUUGACGACAUGAUUUGGAAGCACUCGACGAGUGGGCAUUAUUCUCCGGCAUCGGCUUACCGCGCACAAUUUAUUGGAUCCACGAGUGGGCAUUAUUCUCCGGCAUCGGCUUACCGCGCACAAUUUAUUGGAUCUACGGUCACCACCUUCCACUACUACAUUUGGGGCGUUUGGGCUCCACCAAAGGUGAAAUUCUUUGCGUGGCUUGCAACCCGUAAUAGGAUUUGGACGUCCGACAGACUCGCCAAGAGGGGUUGGCAAAAUUGUGGACUCUGUCCACUUUGCCAAUGUGCGCAAGAAAGUGGAGCACAUCUUUUUUUCAAGUGUCGGUACACCGUCAGGAUUUGGAACCUUAUUAAAAGUUGGCUCGGUCUUCAUGUGAUUGACAUGGCAACCUGGGGAACCUUGCACUCACUCUCGCAUUGGUGGAGAAACAUGUCUGGAAGCAACAUCCCCAAUAGAAAGGCCAUGGCAUCCCUCACCAUGCUAGCCGGCUGGACCAUCUGGAAAGAGAGAAAUGCUCGUGUAUUCCAACACAAAUCAACUCCGGCACCGGUCAUCUUCAGUAUCAUCAAAAGGGAGGCUAGACUUUGGGUUAUCGCAGGUGCGAAAAAAAAUUGGGAAGCAUAA
rnacentral:rRNA from 1 species